rnacentral:rRNA from 1 species
UGAGGAAUAUUCCACAAUGGGCGAAAGCCUGAUGGAGCGACGCCGCGUGCGGGAAGAAGCCUUUCGGGGUGUAAACCGCUUUUCUCUGGGAUGACACGGUGGGGUAACCCACCUAGGACAGUACCAGAGGAAUAAGCAUCGGCUAACUACGUG